AAAAGAAUUAAAUAAAAAACGAAAAUAAAGAAAAAGAAAAACAUUAGGGUUUGCUUCUUCUUCGUCAUAAACUGAGAAAAGGGUUAUUGAGAACGGUGAUUUCCUAACCUACGUUGAACGGUGAUUUCCUAAUCCACCAGUUAUGCCAUAGACAAAAGAGUUGAUGUUCUUAUGGAUGAUAUUUCGAUCGGUGUUUGGUGAUUUAGGGUUUAAGAAGAAAUUGAUGAUGAAACUUAAGGGGGAAUCGGAGGUGAAAUUGAUAAGGGUUAUUGGGAACUGAGAUUGAUGAUUAAGUUAAGACAAUUGAAGAAUUUCAGAAACUAGGGUUUGGUUUUGGGAAGAGCAGCUAAGACUGAUUCUUAUUUGUUUCCUAUCCCUAAUCUUCAAACGACGUCAACAAAUCAACAUGUGCAAUAGCAUCUUCCUUCUGAGAUUUUCUGAUUUCCCGUUGAUUUCCUGAAAAUUUAAGGGUGAUAGAAAUUUGUAAGCUCUAUAAUGAAAAGAGGGUUUUGUUUAUGUCCUUGGAAUUCGGUUUUGUGCUCAAUUAUAUGAUAGGAAUCUGGAGAAGGGAGUUUUGUACUCCAUAUUUAAGGUGAUAAUUGUCUGUGAUGCUCUUGCACAAUCUGGAGAAGGGAGCUCACAUGCAUCAUUGUGGUAACAUUCAGCACCUAGGGAUCGUGUUGAGAUAAUCUGUAGGUCUAAGAUGGGAAUUGGAACACAAGACAUAAAUAAGAAGUUGAAGGGUGAUUCUGGAAGACCUUCCACUCCUAGAAAAGACCUACAGAUUUGGGCACCAUUAACUUAUCUGGGUUUUCUUUUAGUAUCUAUAUCUAUCAUUCUCGAAUCCUUGGCAGGUGAUGGUGGUACGCUACGAACUUGCCUUAAGGAUGGGUAGAUAUGCCCAGUUCAGUUUAGCAGAGGUAUGGCCAAUAAGCUUACUGUUAGAAAAGCUACAUAUUCGAGUUUGUAUCAUUCUAUAGUUUUCAGGGGGCCAUUUUUUUAACCCGUUUUUUUAACCCAAAUACUUGGAUUGAGGUUCGUAUAAAAUGAUCAUAUGUUUGCUUCCGCUACUGUGCGUCCCUGUCCCGCGUUACAUUUGAUGAAGUUGUAACCCAAAGAAUAAUUAUUCAUUGAUUUAUUAGAUAAUGAUGUGAAUGAUGUUGUCGGGGAAGGAACGGUAACACAGUUCGAUACACUGCCUUAGUUCUUUUCUUUCCUUUUCUUUCCUUUUCUUUACUGGAUCAUCAAAGUCUAUACUUUGGUAUUUUUUGCAGCCAUAAUGGAUGGCUCCUGAAGUUAUAAUUGUUCGGGCUGAUGUGCGUUUGUUGUUUGCUUAGCAGGUGUGCUCAAUUUUUUUGUGUGUGUUUUGUUUUUUUUUUUGCAAUUUUUCAGGUUUGUAAUCGAAUUGAUCCAGUGAAGCAAUUAGGUAUUAGUAUUUGACACUUUCUGUUUCAUACACUUGAGCAAACCAAGUUCUUAACCUGCUCUAAUUUCCGAUGGAAUCAAUCAUGUGCAUCGAGACUGAUAUGCGCUACAAUUCUUGAAAAAAUGCUCCAUAUGGGUUCCAAAGCAGUCUCCAUGGGUUGGUUUUGAUACGGCAACCUGUACAAGGUAUCCACUUCAUAUAUAUUUUCUUUUAAGUAUACCUGUUUCUUCAGGAGAUCGACAUACAAAUCAUGCAAACAAACUAAUCAAUGAUGGAUGAGGGGUUCUUGAAGUAGCGAUAUGAAGAUUAACAACGGUUUGUUCCAAUCGAAAAGUAUCUCACGGAAUUCCCAAGGUACCUGACAAAGUGGCAAGUUGGUUCGUCAUGGAUUUUUCUUCCACAAUCCCAUUUGAGACUUUAAGAUUCAUGUUUACAGGAAGCAGCAGUAUGUAUAUCUCCUAUGACAUAUUGGGUUUGCUCAAAUUUUGAAGUCUAAGAAAUCUCAAACAACUUUUCACAAGGUUUGUGAACUCCUGCCUAAAGGUAAUUUGUUCCCACUGGCCAAUUAGGUCAGAGUCAACGUCCACAUCGAAUAUGGAGAAGGCACACCUUUGGCAGGUCAUAAGCCUUCCACCUGAGCAGAGGCAUCAAGCACUUCUGUAUUAGCAAACUGGUAUCUCGAUCUGUUGUCAAUCCAGAGGAACAAACAAUGAAGUGCAUACAAAGAUCAAGAAAGAAAUGAAGUCGUUGGUGGUAGUUCUGAGUUAUUGGAUUCUGAAGGCCAUGUCAGUGGGAUUACGAUGAUCACUUUCAGUUGGUAUAAGUAGUUGCAUGAUAUUUUAAAAUUUUAGUUCAUUGCACAUUGACUGAUUCCCUUUAGUUUGAGAUGUAAAUUCCAAUUCGGCAGGAAGUUAAAAUUACCAAUUCUAAGGCUAGACUAUCGGAUUGACUGCACAGACAAAAAAGCUUCCACUUAAUAUUUUGAGUAAACAUAGUUGCCAGGGGCGAAACUACAGCCCAGCAUGGGAUGGCUUAAGCCACCCUCAAACAAAUUCUUUUGGUUAAUAUGGUGAAGCCAGCCCAUAUAUAUGAAAUUUUUUUCUUGAA